GCCUGAGAUGCCGAGUCCGACGCCAACGCUACAGUCUCGUACCGGUCCGCCGCUUCGCGUGAAGACGUGUUCCGGCGCCCGGCGGCGUGACGCCGAGCGAACGGCGACGCGACACAUACAGCUCGACCGACCUGGUCCUUGGAGCUAAUCCUUCUUCCGAAGGUACGGAUCCAUUUCGCCGACUUCCCUUACCUACAUUGGCGCUAUCGACAAGAGGCUGUACACUUUGGAGACCUGCUGCGGAUGAGUACGACCCGGC